rnacentral:rRNA from 1 species
AUGAACGCUAGCGACAGGCCUAACACAUGCAAGUCGAGGGGCAGCAUGGUAUCAGCUUGCUGAUACCGAUGGCGACCGGCGCACGGGUGAGUAACGCGUAUGUAAUCUGCCUGUAACAGAGGGAUAACCCGGAGAAAUCCGGCCUAAUACCUCAUAGCACAUAUUAUUCGCAUGAGUUUUAUGUUAAAGAGACUCGGUUACAGAUGAACAUGCGUUCCAUUAGCUGGUUGGCGGGGUAACGGCCCACCAAGGCGACGAUCAGUAGGGGUUCUGAGAGGAAGGUCCCCCACAUUGGAACUGAGACACGGUCCAAACUCCUACGGGAGGCAGCAGUGAGGAAUAUUGGUCAAUGGACGAGAGUCUGAACCAGCCAAGUAGCGUGCAGGAUGACGGCCCUAUGGGUUGUAAACUGCUUUUAUAAGGGAAUAAAGUGAGUCUCGUGAGGCUUUUUGCAUGUACCUUAUGAAUAAGGACCGGCUAAUUCCGUG